UACGUAGGGUGCGAGCGUUGUCCGGAAUUAUUGGGCGUAAAGGGCUCGUAGGCGGUCCAUCGCGUCGGGAGUGAAAAGCUGGGGCUUAACCCCAGUCCUGCUUUCGAUACGGGUGGACUAGAGGUAGGCAGGGGAGAAUGGAAUUCCUGGUGUAGCGGUGAAAUGCGCAGAUAUCAGGAAGAACACCCGUGGCGAAGGCGGUUCUCUGGGACGGUACUGACGCUGAGACGCGAAAGCGUGGGGAGCGAACAGG
rnacentral:rRNA from 1 species